GAUGAACGCUAGCUACAGGCUUAACACAUGCAAGUCGAGGGGCAGCGCAGUGUAGCAAUACACGGGCGGCGACCGGCGCACGGGUGCGUAACGCGUAUCCAACCUUCCCGUUACUCUCGGAUAGCCUUCCGAAAGGGAGAUUAAUACCUGAUGGUGUUCAAAUUCCGCAUGUUAUUUGAACUAAAGAUUUAUCGGUAACGGAUGGGGAUGCGUGACAUUAGAUAGUAGGCGGGGUAACGGCCCACCUAGUCUACGAUGUCUAGGGGUUCUGAGAGGAAGGUCCCCCACACUGGAACUGAGACACGGUCCAGACUCCUACGGGAGGCAGCAGUGAGGAAUAUUGGUCAAUGGCCGGAAGGCUGAACCAGCCAAGUAGCGUGAAGGAUGAAGGUUCUAUGGAUUGUAAACUUCUUUUAUACGGGAAUAAAACCUCCCACGUGUGGGAGCUUGUAUGUACCGUAUGAAUAAGCAUCGGCUAACUCCGUG
rnacentral:rRNA from 1 species